GGUGAACGCUGGCGGUAGGCCUAACACAUGCAAGUCGAACGGCAGCACAGUAAGAGCUUGCUCUUACGGGUGGCGAGUGGCGGACGGGUGAGGAAUACAUCGGAAUCUACUUUUUCGUGGGGGAUAACGUAGGGAAACUUACGCUAAUACCGCAUACGACCUACGGGUGAAAGCAGGGGAUCUUCAGACCUUGCGCGAUUGAAUGAGCCGAUGUCGGAUUAGCUAGUUGGCGGGGUAAAGGCCCACCAAGGCGACGAUCCGUAGCUGGUCUGAGAGGAUGAUCAGCCACACUGGAACUGAGACACGGUCCAGACUCCUACGGGAGGCAGCAGUGGGGAAUAUUGGACAAUGGGCGCAAGCCUGAUCCAGCCAUACCGCGUGGGUGAAGAAGGCCUUCGGGUUGUAAAGCCCUUUUGUUGGGAAAGAAAAGCAGCAGGUUAAUACCCCGCUGUUCUGACGGUACCCAAAGAAUAAGCACCGGCUAACUUCGUG
rnacentral:rRNA from 1 species